rnacentral:lncRNA from 1 species
GAGCGCGCCGGGCGCAGGGCCGGGCCGGCCGCGGGAGGGUAGUGUCAGCGCCCGCGUCCAGCUCUUCGGCCGCAGACCCGGGCUGUCUGGAGGCCGCGCGGCCACCUGCUGCGUCGCCCCGGCUUUGGGCUGGGGCUAGACGCGCACCGCGGCGGGAGCAGCCCCGGCUCGCCGCACCCCGCGGAAGGUGCCCUUCUCUGCGCGUCUCGCCGAGCCCGGGCCACGCUCCUGUCCCAGCGAGCUUGACAUGAUUUCCACAAGGGUGAUGGACAUUAAGCUUCGGGAGGCUGCAGAAGGCCUUGGGGAGGACAGCACAGGAAAGAAAAAAUCUAAAUUCAAAACUUUUAAGAAGUUUUUUGGGAAGAAGAAGAGAAAAGAAUCGCCGUCGUCCACAGGAAGUAGCACCUGGAAACAAAGUCAGACGAGGAAUGAGGUCAUUGCCAUCGAAUCCGGGCCAGUGGGCUACGACUCCGAGGAUGAGCUGGAUUAAAAAUACAGUGUAAUGUGAAAAUGGGGCCACCACCUCCUCCAGGGGGGCUUCCUGCCAAGCGGGGAGAGGAUGCCGGCAUGAGCUCUGAGGACGACGGGCUGCCCAGGAGCCCCCCAGAGAUGUCUCUGCUGCACGACGUGGGUCCUGGUACCACCAUAAAGGUCUCUGUCGUGUCUCCAGACCACGUGAGCGACAGCACCGUCUCUGCCCGGAUCUCAGACAACAGCCUGGCACCAGUGGCUGACUUCAGUUAUCCUGCAGAAUCCUCCUCCUGCCUGGACAACUCUGCAGCUAAGCACAAGCUCCAGGUCAAGCCCCGCAACCAGCGGUCGAGUAAGAUGAGGCGGCUCUCAUCG